CUGCAAUGCCCCCUACAUGGGGCUGUGAAGAGUCUCUGGAAAUGAGAGUUACCUAGCUACUGCAAGCAAGAAUUCUGGACCACAACCACCCAUCCUAUAAAAGGAAAGAUGCAGGGAAAGAAGAAGACACAUUUUUAUAUAUGGGGUCCUACAAAAAGGAACAGCACAACAGAAAGGCAAGACUAGAGCUGAUCCAUCACUGUCAACAGCUUUCAGCAAGAUCAGCACUUUUGGGGGGGGGGGUUGUUAUUGGGGCCUGGCCCAUCAGCAGCUCUUCCAAACAGUAAAUGCACUGCAGGCAAGUCUCUCUCUCCUCCUGAGAAGUAUUCUGGCAAUCUAAAGGAUCAGCACCCAGAGUGGAAGUACCACUGACCAGCGGCUUCUUGAUAAAUUACUCAGUGGAGCAUUGCCAUUCUUGACAAUACCUGGAGGAGAGGCUGAAUCUAGUUUUGGAACCAACGGCAUAGCUAGAUAGUUCUGCUGUUGGAGUUACAGAAAUGUGAUGUUAAAGGGCUCUCUCUUCUCCAGACCCAUCUAGGCAUCUCUCUCCUCUAGCCUCUUGGAGUAAUGCAAAUGAGGCGGGGGGGGGAGCAAGAGCAGAGAGCAGUUGGACUGACAGGUUAAUGAAGCAGUGCCUAAUCGUGAUGUAUAUUAUAACUACAAAAGGAGCUUGUAAAUACUCAGGUUGCCUUAUACACAUAAACACAAGCAAACAUACAUAUGAAUGCUCUUAUUCACCGCUCUGCACAUUCAAGCAGACUCUAGUAUGCUCAAAAUGGACUACCAAUGGUGUGCAACAAUAAACAAGACAGGUACAACAAGCAAAAGUCAAAGCAACUGUUGCAACUGGUAAUUUUGAGGCAAAAAAUAAAAAUA